UGGGGAAUAUUGCACAAUGGGCGAAAGCCUGAUGCAGCGACGCCGCGUGCGGGAUGACGGCCUUCGGGUUGUAAACCGCUUUCGGCAGGGAAGAAGCCGUAAGGUGACGGUACCUGCAGAAGAAGCGCCGGCUAACUACGUGCCAGCAGCCGCGGUAAUACGUAGGGCGCAAGCGUUGUCCGGAAUUAUUGGGCGUAAAGAGCUCGUAGGCGGUUCGUCGCGUCUGCUGUGAAAUCCUCAGGCUCAACCUGGGGCGUGCAGUGGGUACUGGAGGACUGGAGUGCGGUAGGGGUGACUGGAAGUCCUGGUGUAGCGGUGGAAUGCGCAGAUAUCAGGAGGAACACCGAUGGCGAAGGCAGGUCACUGGGCCGCAACUGACGCUGAGGAGAGAAAGCAUGGGG
rnacentral:rRNA from 1 species